rnacentral:rRNA from 1 species
CAAGUCGAACGGGAAACAUUUUAUUGAAGCUUCGGCAGAUUUAGCUUGUUUCUAGUGGCGGACGGGUGAGUAACGCGUGGGUAACCUGCCUUAUACUGGGGGAUAACAGCCAGAAAUGACUGCUAAUACCGCAUAAGCGCACAGAACCGCAUGGUUCGGUGUGAAAAACUUAGGUGGUAUAAGAUGGACCCGCGUUGGAUUAGCUAGUUGGCAGGGCAGCGGCCUACCAAGGCGACGAUCCAUAGCCGGCCUGAGAGGGUGAACGGCCACAUUGGGACUGAGACACGGCCCAGACUCCUACGGGAGGCAGCAGUGGGGAAUAUUGCACAAUGGGGGAAACCCUGAUGCAGCGACGCCGCGUGAAGGAAGAAGUAUCUCGGUAUGUAAACUUCUAUCAGCAGGGAAGAUAAUGACGGUACCUGACUAAGAAGCCCCGGCUAACUACGUGCCAGCAGCCGCGGUAAUACGUAGGGGGCAAGCGUUAUCCGGAUUUACUGGGUGUAAAGGGAGCGUAGACGGCGCAGCAAGUCUGAUGUGAAAGGCAGGGGCUUAACCCCUGGACUGCAUUGGAAACUGCUGUGCUUGAGUGCCGGAGGGGUAAGCGGAAUUCCUAGUGUAGCGGUGAAAUGCGUAGAUAUUAGGAGGAACAC